GAUGAACGCUGGCGGCGUGCCUAAUACAUGCAAGUCGAGCGAACAGACGAGGAGCUUGCUCCUCUGACGUUAGCGGCGGACGGGUGAGUAACACGUGGAUAACCUACCUAUAAGACUGGGAUAACUUCGGGAAACCGGAGCUAAUACCGGAUAAUAUAUUGAACCGCAUGGUUCAAUAGUGAAAGACGGUUUUGCUGUCACUUAUAGAUGGAUCCGCGCCGCAUUAGCUAGUUGGUAAGGUAACGGCUUACCAAGGCAACGAUGCGUAGCCGACCUGGGAGGGUGAUCGGCCACACUGGAACUGAGACACGGUCCAGACUCCUACGGGAGGCAGCAGUAGGGAAUCUUCCGCAAUGGGCGAAAGCCUGACGGAGCAACGCCGCGUGAGUGAUGAAGGUCUUCGGAUCGUAAAACUCUGUUAUUAGGGAAGAACAAAUGUGUAAGUAACUAUGCACGUCUUGACGGUACCUAAUCAGAAAGCCACGGCUAACUACGU
rnacentral:rRNA from 1 species